GGGAUAAUAAACUUGUGGAGUACGGGAAAUCACUGAAAGUAAGUUCAUGAACGGAACAUGACGCUGACCUUGGUCCUAUGAUUAGCAAGCAAGCCAAGGAGCGCAUAUGCAAUCUAAUCCAAUCUGGUGUUGAAAGUGGUGCCAGGCUAUUGCUGGAUGGGCGAGAUAUAGUGGUCCCAGGUUAUGAGCAUGGCAAUUUUAUUGGCCCUACUAUCUUAGCAAAUGUUACAGCUGACAUGGAGUGCUACAAGGUAUUUUUGACA